GUCUUUUUGUAAAUAAUUUAAAGUCAAAUCUGCCCACUGAUUAAUAAUUAAAGGGCUGCAGUAUACUGACUGUACAAAGGUAGCAUAAUAAUUAGUCUUUUAAUUGAAGACUUGUAUGAAAGAUUUGAUGAGAUAUAAGCUGUCUCUUUUUUAUAUUUAGAAUUUAAUUUUUUAGUAAAAAAGCUAAAAUUAUUUUAAAAGACGAGAAGACCCUAUAGAGUUUUAUAUUUAAGUUUAAUUAUAUAUUUAUGUUUAAUUUUAAAAUUAAUUAGUUUAAUUAUUUUAUUGGGGUGAUAGAAAAAUUAAAAUAACUUUUUUUUUAAUUUAAACAUUAAUUAGUGGUUAUAUGAUCCAUAGUUUAUGAUUAUAAGAAAAAAUUACCUUAGGGAUAACAGCGUAAUUUUUUUUUUUAGUUCUUAUAAGAAAAAAAGUUUGCGACCUCGAUGUUGGAUUAAGAUAAAAUUUAAAUGCAGAAGUUUAAAAUUUUUGAUCUGUUCGAUCAUUAAAAUCUUACA
rnacentral:rRNA from 1 species